CCCCUAGAUGUUCUGGGCCGCACGCGCGCUACACUGAACAGUUCAACAAGUCUUAACCUUGGCCGAUAGGUCUGGGUAAUCUUUGAACGCUGUUCGUGAUUGGGAUAGACCUUUGCAAUUAUGGGUCUUCAACGAGGAAUUCCUAGUAAACGCAGAUCAUCAAUCUGCAUUGAUUACGUCCCUGCCCUUUGUACACACCGCCCGUCGCACCUACCGAUUGAAUGGUCCGGUGAAGCCUCGGGAUUGUGGUUGGUUUCCUUUAUUGGAGAUUGAUUGCGAGAACUUGUCUAAACCUUAUCAUUUAGAGGAAGGUGAAGUCGUAACA
rnacentral:rRNA from 1 species